rnacentral:lncRNA from 1 species
GUGCAGUUUCCAGUGUCAUCUUCAUCCAAAUGCAUGAAUGCAAGAUCCACAGCUUCCCUCUUCCAAUGAUCGCACAGCCUGUCUCCUUUAAGAUGUCCUUGGUUAUCUCUGUAAAACUUGACCUUAAGUUCUUCUGUCUGGGGAUCGCUCAUAAUAAUGCCAAAUGGACAGGCGUGUGAAUGCCUCCACGGUAACGACCAGAGGCAAACCGGCACAUACACGUUUGUAUUUCUCCUUCUUCAGCAUGAAGCCUUCCUUUUUCUCCCCUCUUUGUGGGAUCAGUGGGUUUGGGGUUUUUCUUGGUGGCAGAGCAGCGCCGUCACCGAGCAGCCGUCGCUGGCCUGAUAUGCAGCGGUGAAGUCUUCACUGGUUUCUCUUCUGCUCCUGUGUGCUUGCAGAAACCGGGCUGGCUCUUGAUUGGGAUUGUAGGCUGCAGAGGCUGGGGAAGGGCAGACAGCCUCGGGAGACACGCCGGAAAGGGCGGCUCCCUCGUGCUCCUCAGUGACUCAGGGUUUUGGCCACAUAGCUCCCCUCCUCCACCCUCGCUCAGCAGGCUGCAUCCGGGGCGGGGCUGGCAGGCAAAGAGGCUGUGUCACAGCCCUUCAGAGCCUCAAGCUGGGGUCCCUAGGGUUUCUGGACCUCAGAUCACUGUGAGGCAGGAGGUCCUCCACCCUCCCUCCGGCAACUCUGAAGUAUGGGAAGUGGGCUGAUGCGCUGGAACGUCGAUGCAGCCAGUGAUGUGUUUGAUGAGAAUGUAUUGAGAGUAAAGCUGCCCAGAAUCCAAGUGUGUGUCAUCUGAACUCUUGAAUCAUGGAUGGAAGAUGGUGAACCGAAACUUACAGAGCUCAAGUCACUUGACCAGGCUCCACCCCUACAAGAGGCAGCACGCAAACUAAAAACCAGGCGGCCUUUUCCAAAGCUUGUGCUCUGCUCCACUGCUGGAAGGAACCCUUCGGGGAAUUGAAGCAGCACUGAACAAAGGCCAUUUUUAAGAAGCGACACCAGAAACCUAAGGCGGGGUCCCCGGCUCAACAAGGAUCUCAUGUUUUGUGGGUCAGAGAUUCUUGUGUCGUGUCUGGGUGAGGUCAAAAACCAUGCAGAGACUUUCACUUCCUGUUCUGUGGCAGACAAGACAUCUGAAAAGCUCUCCUGCAGCAACACUUCUAGAUGCCAAGUAAAUCACAGCAAGUGCACUUUUAAAUGUGUUACUAAGAUCAUAAAAAUGAAGGAAAAUGCCCAAGCAUAUCCCCAACCCCUCACCCCACAACCACCACCACCACAAUAAACAAGUUGCUGACAGUGG